GGACAUCUCAACGCGGACUGGAGACCACUGAGGGACGGCAGCCAGUUCGAGCUACAUAACAAGAGGGACCGGACCUACAGACAAGCCAUCUUGUUCCCGAAGAUCGACAACAAGUCUCUUCACAAGAUGAUCAAAGUUGUCUGCGGCUCCGACUACUCCAUUGUAGUUCGGACUUUGCGGCAACGUUAACAUCUGCUGCCGACCCUCAGCGAAUGUCCAACGUCACCGACGCAAUAGCCAACCUUUCCUAGGACAGGUAGUCGCACAAUAACAUCAUGGAAGUCGCCGACAAGAUUUGCAGUUUUAAUGAUGUGAGCCUCGUUAUCAGACCAGAAGACGCGCUGCAUCACGGGAUCGAAAUCGACCGCGAUGGGUGAAUGGCGGAUCGAGUGAUGUAUGGCGUGCACUACACCGUUGAGCCCAUUCACUUGAAAAACCUGCCGCUGGUAGGCGUCUGUCACCAAAAGAAAGUAGUCCUGCACAAGACCUGAAAUAAAAAAUAAAUAAAUG